GAGCUCGCUUCGCAGCACAUAUACUAAAAUCGGAAGGAUACAGAGGAGGUUAGCAUGGCCCCGCGUACGGAUGACCCGAAAAAACACACCAAAAAGCCAGAAAGCA